UACGUAGGGUGCGAGCGUUGUCCGGAAUUAUUGGGCGUAAAGAGCUCGUAGGCGGUCUGUCGCGUCUGCCGUGAAAACCCGAGGCUUAACCUCGUGGCUUGCGGUGGAUACGGGCAGACUAGAGGUAGGUAGGGGAGAACGGAAUUCCCGGUGUAGCGGUGAAAUGCGCAGAUAUCGGGAGGAACACCGGUGGCGAAGGCGGUUCUCUGGGCCUUACCUGACGCUGAGGAGCGAAAGCGUGGGGAGCGAACAGG
rnacentral:rRNA from 1 species